rnacentral:misc_RNA from 1 species
CAGCAGCUUAACGCCGGGGGGCUCGAGCUGGGCCAGUUUCCGUGCUCGUCCCCCGGUCUUUCCAAUCCCACGCACCUGUGCACCGGGCGGCGAAAGGGGUCGAACACCCCCCGCCGUCUUUCCACACCCACGCCUGAAGAAAAAACGCAUGUGAACGCAGCCGGGGCCCCGCGGGGCCUCGCGAUUUUUGAAA